rnacentral:rRNA from 1 species
CCUACGGGAGGCAGCAGUGGGGAAUAUUGGGCAAUGGGCGCAAGCCUGACCCAGCCACGCCGCGUGAAGGUAGAUGGCCUUCGGGUGGUAAACUUCUUUUGUCAGGGACGAAGCAAGUGACGGUACCUGACGAAUAAGCCACGGCUAACUAGGUACCAGCAGCCGCGGUAAUACGUAGGUGGCAAGCGUUAUCCGGAUUUACGGGGUGUAAGGGGCGUGUAGGCGGGACUGUAAGUCAGAUGUGAAAUCCACGGGCUAAACGUGUGGCCUGCAUUUGAAACUGUAGUUCUUGAGUACUGGAGAGGCAGACGGAAUGUGUAGUGUAGCGGUGAAAUGCGUAGAUAUUAGGAGGAACACCAGUUGCGAAGGCGGUCUGCUGGACAGCAACUGACGCUGAGGCGCGAAAGCGUGGGUAGCAAACAGGAUUAGAUACCCUUGUAGUC